rnacentral:rRNA from 1 species
GUGGGGAAUUUUGGACAAUGGGCGCAAGCCUGAUCCAGCAAUGCCGCGUGCAGGAAGAAGGCCUUCGGGUUGUAAACUGCUUUUGUACGGAACGAAAAGGCUCUGGUUAAUACCUGGGGCUCAUGACGGUACCGUAAGAAUAAGCACCGGCUAACUACGUGCCAGCAGCCGCGGUAAUACGUAGGGUGCAAGCGUUAAUCGGAAUUACUGGGCGUAAAGCGUGCGCAGGCGGUUUUGUAAGACCGAGGUGAAAUCCCCGGGCUCAACCUGGGAAUUGCCGUUGGGACUGCAAGGCUGGAGUGCGGCAGAGGGGGAUGGAAUUCCGCGUGUAGCAGUGAAAUGCGUAGAUAUGCGGAGGAACACCGAUGGCGAAGGCAAUCCCCUGGGCCUGCACUGACGCUCAUGCACGAAAGCGUGGGGAGCAAACAGGAUUAGAAACCCUAGUAGUCC